GGGUUGUGAGGUUAAGCGACUAAGCGUACACGGUGGAUGCCCUGGCAGUCAGAGGCGAUGAAGGACGUGCUAAUCUGCGAUAAGCGUCGGUAAGGUGAUAUGAACCGUUAUAACCGGCGAUUUCCGAAUGGGGAAACCCAGUGUGUUUCGACACACUAUCAUUAACUGAAUCCAUAGGUUAAUGAGGCGAACCGGGGGAACUGAAACAUCUAAGUACCCCGAGGAAAAGAAAUCAACCGAGAUUCCCCCAGUAGCGGCGAGCGAACGGGGAGCAGCCCAGAGCCUGAAUCAGUGUGUGUGUUAGUGGAAGCGUCUGGAAAGGCGCGCGAUACAGGGUGACAGCCCCGUACACAAAAAUGCACAUACUGUGAGCUCGAUGAGUAGGGCGGGACACGUGGUAUCCUGUCUGAAUAUGGGGGGACCAUCCUCCAAGGCUAAAUACUCCUGACUGACCGAUAGUGAACCAGUACCGUGAGGGAAAGGCGAAAAGAACCCCGGCGAGGGGAGUGAAAAAGAACCUGAAACCGUGUACGUACAAGCAGUGGGAGCACGCUUCGGCGUGUGACUGCGUACCUUUUGUAUAAUGGGUCAGCGACUUAUAUUCUGUAGCAAGGUUAACCGAAUAGGGGAGCCGAAGGGAAACCGAGUCUUAACUGGGCGUUAAGUUGCAGGGUAUAGACCCGAAACCCGGUGAUCUAGCCAUGGGCAGGUUGAAGGUUGGGUAACACUAACUGGAGGACCGAACCGACUAAUGUUGAAAAAUUAGCGGAUGACUUGUGGCUGGGGGUGAAAGGCCAAUCAAACCGGGAGAUAGCUGGUUCUCCCCGAAAGCUAUUUAGGUAGCGCCUCGUGAAUUCAUCUCCGGGGGUAGAGCACUGUUUCGGCAAGGGGGUCAUCCCGACUUACCAACCCGAUGCAAACUGCGAAUACCGGAGAAUGUUAUCACGGGAGACACACGGCGGGUGCUAACGUCCGUCGUGAAGAGGGAAACAACCCAGACCGCCAGCUAAGGUCCCAAAGUCAUGGUUAAGUGGGAAACGAUGUGGGAAGGCCCAGACAGCCAGGAUGUUGGCUUAGAAGCAGCCAUCAUUUAAAGAAAGCGUAAUAGCUCACUGGUCGAGUCGGCCUGCGCGGAAGAUGUAACGGGGCUAAACCAUGCACCGAAGCUGCGGCAGCGACACUAUGUGUUGUUGGGUAGGGGAGCGUUCUGUAAGCCUGUGAAGGUGUGCUGUGAGGCAUGCUGGAGGUAUCAGAAGUGCGAAUGCUGACAUAAGUAACGAUAAAGCGGGUGAAAAGCCCGCUCGCCGGAAGACCAAGGGUUCCUGUCCAACGUUAAUCGGGGCAGGGUGAGUCGACCCCUAAGGCGAGGCCGAAAGGCGUAGUCGAUGGGAAACAGGUUAAUAUUCCUGUACUUGGUGUUACUGCGAAGGGGGGACGGAGAAGGCUAUGUUGGCCGGGCGACGGUUGUCCCGGUUUAAGCGUGUAGGCUGGUUUUCCAGGCAAAUCCGGAAAAUCAAGGCUGAGGCGUGAUGACGAGGCACUACGGUGCUGAAGCAACAAAUGCCCUGCUUCCAGGAAAAGCCUCUAAGCAUCAGGUAACAUUAAAUCGUACCCCAAACCGACACAGGUGGUCAGGUAGAGAAUACCAAGGCGCUUGAGAGAACUCGGGUGAAGGAACUAGGCAAAAUGGUGCCGUAACUUCGGGAGAAGGCACGCUGAUAUGUAGGUGAAGUCCCUCGCGGAUGGAGCUGAAAUCAGUCGAAGAUACCAGCUGGCUGCAACUGUUUAUUAAAAACACAGCACUGUGCAAACACGAAAGUGGACGUAUACGGUGUGACGCCUGCCCGGUGCCGGAAGGUUAAUUGAUGGGGUUAGCGGUAACGCGAAGCUCUUGAUCGAAGCCCCGGUAAACGGCGGCCGUAACUAUAACGGUCCUAAGGUAGCGAAAUUCCUUGUCGGGUAAGUUCCGACCUGCACGAAUGGCGUAAUGAUGGCCAGGCUGUCUCCACCCGAGACUCAGUGAAAUUGAACUCGCUGUGAAGAUGCAGUGUACCCGCGGCAAGACGGAAAGACCCCGUGAACCUUUACUAUAGCUUGACACUGAACAUUGAGCCUUGAUGUGUAGGAUAGGUGGGAGGCUUUGAAGUGUGGACGCCAGUCUGCAUGGAGCCGACCUUGAAAUACCACCCUUUAAUGUUUGAUGUUCUAACGUUGACCCGUGAUCCGGGUUGCGGACAGUGUCUGGUGGGUAGUUUGACUGGGGCGGUCUCCUCCUAAAGAGUAACGGAGGAGCACGAAGGUUGGCUAAUCCUGGUCGGACAUCAGGAGGUUAGUGCAAUGGCAUAAGCCAGCUUGACUGCGAGCGUGACGGCGCGAGCAGGUGCGAAAGCAGGUCAUAGUGAUCCGGUGGUUCUGAAUGGAAGGGCCAUCGCUCAACGGAUAAAAGGUACUCCGGGGAUAACAGGCUGAUACCGCCCAAGAGUUCAUAUCGACGGCGGUGUUUGGCACCUCGAUGUCGGCUCAUCACAUCCUGGGGCUGAAGUAGGUCCCAAGGGUAUGGCUGUUCGCCAUUUAAAGUGGUACGCGAGCUGGGUUUAGAACGUCGUGAGACAGUUCGGUCCCUAUCUGCCGUGGGCGCUGGAGAACUGAGGGGGGCUGCUCCUAGUACGAGAGGACCGGAGUGGACGCAUCACUGGUGUUCGGGUUGUCAUGCCAAUGGCACUGCCCGGUAGCUAAAUGCGGAAGAGAUAAGUGCUGAAAGCAUCUAAGCACGAAACUUGCCCCG
rnacentral:rRNA from 1 species